rnacentral:misc_RNA from 1 species
UUGAGUUGUUUACACCUAGAAGGGUUGUUGCUGGCCUCUUGGGGCAAUGUGCACACCUCUGGGUGAUUCAUCCACACACACCUGUGAACCUGUUUGUGGGAUGCCUCUUCGGGGGUUACCUCCCAUGUUUAUAUUGCACACGCACUUUUUAGUAUGUCCCUAGAGUGUUAAAGCUGCUGAGAAGGCAGUUUUGAAUAUGUAUAUA